rnacentral:lncRNA from 10 species
GGGAGAGGCAGAGAAAAGACAGGUAAACCCAGUUCACUCAGGCAGAAGCAAGAGGAAGAACAUUCCUCCAGCUCCUCCUCAUGCAGGCCCGAGAGGUGGGAGGGCAUUCUGCCAGCCCAGUAUAUCCACUUUGCUUCGACAAAUGUCAGCCUGCCCAGAAUAAGGAAGUACCCACAGCCGGGAAAGGUAAAUCCAAACCCUGAAAAGACAGAUACUGAGCAUUUGAAAUAACACAGCUUGCAGCGUCCUUGCGGAGCCCUGUUUAUGGGGCAAUAAACCAUUUAAACGACUGUGUGUUGGAACCCACAAGGUCGCCUUGAAAGGCUUUUCACAGACACUGCUAGUAGGGCUCCAGGACGUCUGGAGGGCCAGGAUGGGGUGUCUUUUUGGCUUCUGCUUGAAGCUGCUGGUUCCCCUCCAUCAGGAACGCCAGCCCCUGGAGAGGCUGCCAUGAGAAAGCCAGUUUCCACGUAAAGAAAUCUAAGCAACUUGCUAGGGAGGCCACAUGGAGACAGUGAAACCCCAGAGGAUGAGAA